rnacentral:sRNA from 1 species
UAGAUACUACUACUAUUUCAAAUCGUGA